GUAAAUCCAUAAAGAUGUACUGAAAUAUGACUGGCAGCUUCCCAAAUAAUAACAGUCCUGUCCAUUUUCAGUCUAUUUAUUCCACCAGCCACUGUACUUGCUCAGCCAAUCAGAUAAGAGGCUGAAAAAUGCUGUUAACUUGAGUCACAGGCGGGAGAAACUCAUCGCUCGAGCGAAACAGAGUGAGUGGUCUGAGCAGGAGCGGCAGUUAAUUUUGCAGAACACCUCGGAAAGUGGCACAGUCUGGUUGCUUUUCAGGUGGCCAGCUCAGCCACAAGGCGUCACCUUUUCCUGAACAGGUGAACUCUCAUUCCCUCCUUUCCGCUUUGGUGCUACCUAAACAGGUGGUGAUCUAAAAACUGGAUAUCUGACAAGAUUUUACUUCUACAGUCUGUGGAUAUAGAUGUGAUUGCACCUGCCCUUUUUCAACAGAAACAGGAGAGUUAUUAACCCACAUGCUAAUCUGUGUAUGCCUGGCACAGCAGCUCAUCUUCUGUGGGACAGCCAGUCAGAUCAGCUCGACCCAAUGAUUCAACUGAAUGGUGAAGCUAAGCAGGACUGUUCAUGGUUAGUA